rnacentral:lncRNA from 1 species
AAUCACAUUUCCAUUCCAUAAUUCACUUCACAAUAUUCAAAAACUUUCAAUCCUCUUAUUCAAAGAAAAUAACAAACAAAAGAAAAGAAGUAGCACCAAGCUUACCCCGACUCACAACUAUCACAGCGAUGGCCCUCGGCUCAUGACUAUUACAGUCUCGCACCUUAAUUAACUUUUACAACUCCUAUAUACUUUCUCCUGAUUCUCCAGAUUCUAACUAUGAUUCUGUAAUUAAUCACUUUUAAGAACUAAAUCACUCAUCCGUCCU